rnacentral:misc_RNA from 1 species
UACACCAGUACACCGUCACGCCCCCGUCCUGUUGGAGAGGGUGUCGCUGUGCAAGGAAUCAGUGGAGAGAAAAACCCUAACCCUAACCUAACCCUAACCCUAACCCUAACCCUAACCCUAACCAGUACACCAGUACACCGUCACGCCCCCGUCCUGUUGGAGAGGGUGUCGCUGUGCAAGGAAUCAGUGGAGAGAAAAACCCUAACCCUAACCCUAACCCUAACCCUAACCCUAACCCUAACCAGUACACCAGUACAACCCGUCACGCCCCCGUCCUGUUGGAGAGGGUGUCGCUGUGCAAGGAAUCAGUGGAGAGAAAAACCCUAACCCUAACCCUAACCCUAACCCUAAC